rnacentral:rRNA from 1 species
UUGGGCGACCGGCGCACGGGUGAGUAACGCGUAUGCAACUUACCUAUCAGAGGGGGAUAGCCCGGCGAAAGUCGGAUUAAUACCCCAUGAAACAGGGGUCCCGCAUGGGAAUAUUUGUUAAAGAUUCAUCGCUGAUAGAUAGGCAUGCGUUCCAUUAGGCAGUUGGCGGGGUAACGGCCCACCAAACCGACGAUGGAUAGGGGUUCUGAGAGGAAGGUCCCCCACAUUGGUACUGAGACACGGACCAA